GUGCUCAUUUCAGCAGCACAUACACUCACAUUGGAGUGAUACAGAGAAGGUUAGCGUGGCCCCUGCACAAGGAUGACAUGCAAAUUCGUGAAGCGUUCCAUAUUUUU
ensembl:snRNA U6 U6 spliceosomal RNA